rnacentral:lncRNA from 1 species
UAAAUUUUUAUAUCAUAGAUCUUAUCAAAUAAAACCUCUUUUAAUGUAUUGUUAUGCAUAAAAGCAAAAUCAAAUGAAACAUACUUUAAUUUAAUAUUUUAAAGUUUAGGUAAAACUCCAUAUGGAGGUGCUCCUAAUUCAAGGAAGCUUAUACUAAGAAGAUACAUUAACAUUGGUUUCUUUCCCCUUACUUAUAUCCCCUGG